CAUCAUUCGGCAAACUCUGCCAUACCAACAAAACCAGGGACAAACCAGAAAACCUGGGGUCUUCUCCUGGCAUCACUUCCUGGGCUGCAGCUCAGUCUUUAUAGGAGGUCAUUUUGUGCUGUGCCAGAAGGUUCUCUGCGCGUCCACUAUUACACUGUCCUUCACAGCUUUAAUCUUCAUAGAAAUUGGUUUCAAAUCCUGACCCGUGAAGAGGAGCGGAUUGUGGAUAUAAUAUUUUGCUUUCAAGGGGGGAAUUCAGCUUCUUCCACGAAGGAGAAUAAAACUUUGCCAACAUUAUCAAGGUGAAGCGCUCCUGAAACUACGUGUAGGCUUAACUGC